AGCAGCCGCGGUAAUUCCAGCUCCAAUAGCGUAUAUUAAAGUUGUUGCAGUUAAAAAGCUCGUAGUUGAAUUUCGGAAUUUGUCGGUUGGUCGGGCUUCACUGUCCGCACUGGCCUGAUAGAUUCCUACCUUCUGAAUAACCAGCAUGCUAUUAAUUUAGUGCGUUGGGGAAGCAGAGCUAUUACCUUGAAAAAAUUAGAGUGCUUAAAGCAGGCUUAUGCUUGAAUAGAUUAGCAUGGAAUAAUAAAAUAGGACGGCUUGGUUCUAUUUUGUUGGUUUCUAGGAUCACCGUAAUGAUUAAUAGGGAUAGUUGGGGGCAUUAGUAUUCAAUUGUCAGAGGUGAAAUUCUUGGAUUUAUUGAAGACUAACUUCUGCGAAAGCAUUUGCCAAGGAUGUUUUCAUUAAUCAAGAACGAAAGUUAGGGGAUCGAAGACGAUCAGAUACCGUCGUAGUCUUAACCAUAAACUAUGCCGACUAGGGAUCGGACGAUGUUAAUUUUUUAAUGACUCGUUCGGCGUCC
rnacentral:rRNA from 1 species